AACGAACGCUGGCGGCAGGCUUAACACAUGCAAGUCGAACGAUGGCUUCGGCCAUAGUGGCGCACGGGUGAGUAACGCGUGGGAACCUGUCCUUUGGUACGGAAUAACACCGGGAAACUGGUGCUAAUACCGUAUACGCCCCGAGGGGGAAAGAUUUAUCGCCAAAGGAGGGGCCCGCGUAGGAUUAGCUAGUUGGUGAGGUAACGGCUCACCAAGGCGACGAUCCUUAGCUGGUCUGAGAGGAUGAUCA
rnacentral:rRNA from 1 species